UACGUAGGGUGCGAGCGUUGUCCGGAAUUACUGGGCGUAAAGAGCUCGUAGGUGGCUUGUCGCGUUGUUCGUGAAAUCUCACGGCUUAACUGUGAGCGUGCGGGCGAUACGGGCAGACUGGAGUACUGCAGGGGAGACUGGAAUUCCUGGUGUAGCGGUGGAAUGCGCAGAUAUCAGGAGGAACACCGGUGGCGGAGGCGGGUCUCUGGGCAGUAACUGACGCUGAGGAGCGAAAGCGUGGGGAGCGAACAGG
rnacentral:rRNA from 1 species